rnacentral:rRNA from 1 species
UACGGGGGGAGCAAGCGUUGUUCGGAUUCACUGGGCGUAAAGGGUGCGUAGGUGGCCUGAAAAGUUUGAUGUGAAAGCUCAGGGCUUAACCCUGAAAUGGCAUUGAAUACUGUCGGGCUGGAGGUUUGGAGGGGGGACUGGAAUUCUUGGUGUAGCAGUGAAAUGCGUAGAUAUCAAGAGGAACACCAGUGGCGAAGGCGAGUCCCUGGACAACACCUGACACUGAGGCACGAAAGCUAGGGGAGCAAACAGG